GCUCAUAUAAACAAGAAAAAUAAAGAGGCCAACGUUGCCAUCAGCAAGAAACACAAAAACUGCGUUGUCUACAGAAAAAUCUUCCAUGGCUUCUCCAUCUGGCGAAUCACCAAAUACAACAGCAGAUAGGCGCCAAACCAAGCAAAGACAUCAUAGAUGAUGUCAGCUCUGUGUCUGAAAGGAAGAAGAGGAAGGCCACUGCCUCAGAUUCUGCAUUGGCUAAGAAACAGGUCAGCAAGGCGUUCUUCCCACGCCAAUAAAGAUGAUGUCACUUGCCAGUAAGAAUAAACCUCAAAACAGCGGUUAUCCAGAAGCAAUGCAGUUGUAAGAAAAUACUCAACUUUACCUUUCUCUUCGCUUUCGCACCCACACAUAUCCUCAGUUCCAAGAAAAGGUCAAUACAGACAGAGAAUAGAAAGAUUGGUUAAGGGCAGAUUUCAUAGACUACUACUGAUCUGCUAUGUGUAAUAUUAUGGAGCUACCGACUACUCUAGACAAUAUGUGCUUUUAAUGCAUUGUGGUAUGACGGAGUAGGUGUGACCCAUCUGUGUGUAAUAACAUAAGAUGUAAUCCAAUGUUCCACAAUAGCACGAAGCUAUCUACCGCUCCAGCAGCAACAA